rnacentral:snRNA from 1 species
AAGUGAACACAGCUCUUUUAGAAUUUUUCCCAGCAUGAUUUUCUGAGUUUGGUUGUAAAAUCCAA